ACGUAGUGUAGUGGUUAGUGUAUACGCCUGCUACGUACUUAGCCUUAGGGCCUCUAGCUAUCCUAGGGUUGAGCAAGGCUUCGCGCAAGGCCGUGGGUUCGAAUCCCGUUACAGCUAUA